rnacentral:rRNA from 1 species
ACGUAGGGGGCUAGCGUUGUCCGGAAUCAUUGGGCGUAAAGGGCGCGUAGGCGGCGCGAGCAGUCGGCGGUGAAAGCCCGGAGCUCAACUCCGGGUCGGCCGUCGAUACUCUCGUGCUUGAGCACUGUAGAGGCAGAUGGAAUUCCGGGUGUAGCGGUGGAAUGCGUAGAGAUCCGGAAGAACACCAGUGGCGAAGGCGGUCUGCUGGGCAGUGGACUCGAGAGAGUCCUUCAACCGACACUGAGGCGCGACAGCGUGGGGAGCAAACAGGA